GGAAAUUCAGUGAGAGAGUAUAUUAUUUUGUGGUUUCAACGGGGUUAUCAAAAGCUAGCUCCUUUGGGGAAGUCUCUGUAAACUUUUCUGAGUACGCUGAGGCUACGAAACCCUCCACUGUCUCUCUUCCCAUCAAGAAUUCUCAUUGUGAAGCCGUCUUGCAUGUGACAAUCCAGAGGCUGCC